rnacentral:rRNA from 1 species
UGAACGCUGGCGGCAGGCCUAACACAUGCAAGUCGAGCGGAUGAAGGGAGCUUGCUCCUGGAUUCAGCGGCGGACGGGUGAGUAAUGCCUAGGAAUCUGCCUGGUAGUGGGGGAUAACGUCCGGAAACGGGCGCUAAUACCGCAUACGUCCUGAGGGAGAAAGUGGGGGAUCUUCGGACCUCACGCUAUCAGAUGAGCCUAGGUCGGAUUAGCUAGUUGGUGGGGUAAAGGCCUACCAAGGCGACGAUCCGUAACUGGUCUGAGAGGAUGAUCAGUCACACUGGAACUGAGACACGGUCCAGACUCCUACGGGAGGCAGCAGUGGGGAAUAUUGGACAAAGGGCGAAAGCCUGAUCCAGCCAUGCCGCGUGUGUGAAGAAGGUCUUCGGAUUGUAAAGCACUUUAAGUUGGGAGGAAGGGCAGUAAGUUAAUACCUUGCUGUUUUGACGUUACCAACAGAAUAAGCACCGGCUAACUUCGUG